UGUUCUGUGGCUUAGUUGGUUAAAGCGCCGGACUGGCGAUACGGAGUCGUGGGUUCGAAUCCCACCAAAACAA
rfam:Aedes albopictus isolate Foshan contig31600, whole genome shotgun sequence.